AGCUCCAAUAGCGUAUAUUAAAAUUGUUGCGGUUAAAACGCUCGUAGUCGAACAUUCGCUAGGCUGCCCAAGUCCUUCCUAGAGAAGAUCACGCGGUGCGCGCCUUAGCUGUUACUCGGGUAAGGUCUGUCUGCUUCACUGUUGGCCAAACCUUCCCAAGUCUUUACUUUGAGGAAAUGAGAGUGUUCCAAGCAGGUCGAUGCCUUGGAUAUGAUAGCAUGGAAUAACAGUAUGAGACCUGCUUCCGAAGUUGUUGGUUCUUCGGAAAUAGGAAAUGCAAAAGGGGAUAGUUGGGGGUGUUUGUAUUUAACUGUCAGAGGUGAAAUUCUUGGAUUUUUUAAAGACACGCAAUUGCCAAGGCAUUUACCCAGGAUGUUCUCGUUGAUCAAGAACGAAAGUA
rnacentral:rRNA from 1 species